GCCGGCGUAGCUCAGCUGAUAGAGCAGUCGCCUUGUAAGCGACAGGUCGGGGGUUUGAAUCCCUCUGCCGGCUCCA
rnacentral:tRNA from 1 species